UACGUAGGGUGCAAGCGUUAAUCGGAAUUACUGGGCGUAAAGCGUGCGCAGGCGGUUAUGUAAGACAGGUGUGAAAUCCCCGGGCUCAACCUGGGAACUGCAUCUGUGACUGCAUAGCUAGAGUACGGUAGAGGGGGAUGGAAUUCCGCGUGUAGCAGUGAAAUGCGUAGAUAUGCGGAGGAACACCGAUGGCGAAGGCAAUCCCCUGGACCUGUACUGACGCUCAUGCACGAAAGCGUGGGGAGCAAAAGGG
rnacentral:rRNA from 1 species